rnacentral:rRNA from 1 species
AAUGAACGUUGGCGGCGUGGAUUAGGCAUGCAAGUCGUGCGAGAACCGUAGCAAUACGGGGACAGCGGCGAAAGGGAGAGUAAUGCGUGGAUACCUACCCCCAGGACCAGGAUAGCCGCGGGAAACUGCGGGUAAUACUGGAUAAUAUCUCCGGAUCAAAGGUGUGAUUCCGCCCGGGGAUGGGUCCGCGUCCUAUUAGCUAGUUGGCAGGGUAAUGGCCUACCAAGGCAAAGAUGGGUAUGGGGCGUGAGAGCGUGCCCCCACUCACUGGGAACGAGACACUGCCCAGACACCUACGGGUGGCUGCAGUCGAGGAUCUUCGGCAAUGGGCGCAAGCCUGACCGAGCGACGCCGCGUGCGGGAUGAAGGCCUUCGGGGUGUAAACCGCUGACAGAGGGGAGGAAAUGCCGUGGGGUUCUCCCCACGGUUUGACCUAUCCUCAGAGGAAGGACGGGCUAAGUUCGUGCCAGCAGCCGCAGUAGAC